ACUCCUACGGGAGGCAGCAGUGGGAAUAUUGCACAAUGGGGAAGCCCAUCGAUGCAGCCAUGCCGCGUGUGUGAAGAAGGCCAUUCGGGCUUGUAAAGACNCUUUCAGCGAGGAGGAAAGGGUGUGUGUUAAUACCAUACAUCUGUGACGUUACUCGCAGAAGAAGCACCGGCUAACUCCGUGCCAGCAGCCGCGGUAAUACGGAGGGUGCGAGCGUUAAUCGGAAUUACUGGGCGUAAAGCGUGCGCAGGCGGUUUGUUAAGCGAGAUGUGAAAGCCCGC
rnacentral:rRNA from 1 species